AGUAUCUAAAGUAAUAGAAAGACAGUUUGAUAAACUGGUUAACAAUGUUUAUUUUUCAUUUCAGCUAAUAUGCCGUGCGAAAAAGCAAAAUAAAUAUUUCAUUUUAAUGUUUAUUAAGCUACACCGACAUUAUAUUUUUCAUCUAAAACGUUUUUGAUGUGUUUUUUCUCAUCGCGUUUAGGCGUCGUGUAUCAGAUCGCAACUGCUAAUAAUUUCGUCGUCUGAGACGGACUGUUAUGGAGGUACAAAAUCUUCAGUGAUGUGUUCACGCAUCUACGAGCCGGUAAUUGGCGGUAUCCAGAUCAUCGUCGUACUGUUAGCUUACCUAAGCUACCGAAAUUAGCGACAGUGUAAAAUCUGUGCUGUGAGACCUACAGUUGCCUCUCACAGCCGUCCAGAAGUCGCAGUGAUUUGGUAACAUCAAGUGCAUCACCACCGCACGAAGCGCAGCAUAUUGACGCAAGCCCAAGCGGACAGCAACCACCUGCAGCAAACGUACGCCGAACGAAUGGUCGUGGUAGACGCGUUAGGAUUGCAAGGCGAUACUUGCGCUCUGAUACAGAUGUUUGGGCCACAGAGGUGACGUUCCGAGAUUGUAAAAACAUGUCGGGCCCACAGUUUCAGAUAAGCCGUUCUCAUCAAUGCCAUACCAUGUACGGUCGGCUAGUUACACUUCAUCACGAAGGACAAUCACAUCUGGGUCACGGAAUGCUGCCAAAACGAUGAAGCUGGUUUAGUCCUCGAUGACGACGCAACUCCUGCACGUUCGUCGUCAUACUAUCAUUUCAACUGGAGGCAUGUUUGUUUAGGCGGCUACAACAAAUUGUUUGAACAUGUUCAAAACAACAUGGCUUCUCACAAUUACUGGUGAAUGCUGGAAAUCUCCGUGAUAGCCAUUUUCGUGCGCUGAAUUAGGUUUGUAUGAAAAAUAGUGUAUUUUUAGAAUAUUUAAUUAUCAAUAAAAUAACGGUCGAUUUGAAAA